rnacentral:rRNA from 1 species
ACUCCUACGGGAGGCAGCAGUGGGGAAGUAUUGCACAAUGGGGCACGCAAGCCUGAUGCAGCCAUGCCGCGUGUAUGAAGAAGGCCUUCGGGUUGUAAAGUACUUUCAGGCAGAUGAGGAAGGUGGGUAUCGUUAAUAGCAUACACACUUUGACGUUAGCUGCAGAAGAAGCACCGGCUAACUCCGUGCCAGCAGCCGCGGUAAUACGGAGGGUGCGAGCGUUAAUCGGAAUUACUGGGCGUAAAGCGCAUGCAGGUGGUUUGUUAAGUCCGAGAUGUGGAAAAGCCCCGGGGCUCAAAUCCUGCGGAAUUGCAUUUUGAAACUGGCAAACUAGGAGUACUGUAGAGGGGGUGAGAAUUUCAGGUGUAGCGGUGAAAUGCGUAGAGAUCCUG